rnacentral:lncRNA from 1 species
CUCCUUUUCUUUUUUUCUUCUUAGAGUUGAAAAAUACUCAUGAUUGACUAUAGUUUGGAUUCGUGGAUGAGUGGAUGAAUAGAUAGAACAUCAUUGAUAUCUCAUCGAAUGAUUGAAGGAAUUGAAUUUGUAAUUGUGCAUGUCUUGCCAAUUAUUAUGAAAUUAGAUCAUUAUUACUUAUGGAUACAAGGUUGUAAUAAAUUAUAGAGGUUAUAAUAAAUUAUAAGGCCUUACAUGAUCUCUAAGGUUUCGCUAUAGGAUUCAUGCAGCCAUCGCAUUCCUGAUUCAGACUGUCACACUUUA